AACGCUGGCGGCAGGCCUAACACAUGCAAGUCGAGCGGAUGAGAGGAGCUUGCUCCUUGAUUUAGCGGCGGACGGGUGAGUAAUGCCUAGGAAUCUGCCUGGUAGUGGGGGAUAACGUUCCGAAAGGAACGCUAAUACCGCAUACGUCCUACGGGAGAAAGCAGGGGACCUUCGGGCCUUGCGCUAUCAGAUGAGCCUAGGUCGGAUUAGCUAGUUGGUGAGGUAAUGGCUCACCAAGGCGACGAUCCGUAACUGGUCUGAGAGGAUGAUCAGUCACACUGGAACUGAGACACGGUCCAGACUCCUACGGGAGGCAGCAGUGGGGAAUAUUGGACAAUGGGCGAAAGCCUGAUCCAGCCAUGCCGCGUGUGUGAAGAAGGUCUUCGGAUUGUAAAGCACUUUAAGUUGGGAGGAAGGGCAGUAAGCUAAUACCUUGCUGUUUUGACGUUACCGACAGAAUAAGCACCGGCUAACUUCGUG
rnacentral:rRNA from 1 species